ACCAAAAACAUUUCUUAAUAUUUUAUUAUUAAGUAUAACCUGCUCAAUGGUCAAUUUAAUAGCCGCAGAAAUUUAACUGUGCUAAGGUAGCAUAAUCAUUAGCUCUUUAAUUAAGAGCUCGUAUGAAAGGUUAAACAUUAUAUAUACUAUAACCUUUUUUAAUAAAUCAAAAUUUAAUUAAGAAUCAAAAUGUUCUUAUUAUAUAAAUAGACGAUAAGACCCUAUUGAACUUUACUUUAGUUUAACUGGGGCAGUUAACUAAUAAUAAUCUUAAUUAACCUCUUUUUAUAAAAAUCCAAUCUAUUUGAAUUUGAAUAAGUUACCAUAGGGAUAACAGCGUAAUUUGUUUCUAAAGUUCUUAUUUAAAAACAAGAUUGCGACCUCGAUGUUGAAUUAGUGUCACUUUUUAAAUGCAACAAUUUUAAAAGUAGGUCUGUUCGACCUUUAAAACAUUACAUGAUCUGAGUUCAAACCGG
rnacentral:rRNA from 1 species